GGGGCCGACCUGGUUUCGACGUGGGUAGUGAAGCAAUUCAGGGCAUACCGAGGACCCGUCACCUCGUAAAUCAAUGGGAAUCAACUAACUGCAAACGACUCUCGUUUCCAGCUGGCCGCUUAACACCGGCCAACCUCGCACUAGCCUGCUGAUGGGGUAGGGUCGCAAGACCGCGCGAGGUCAUUUUCAUCAGAUCGUGCCAGAUGGCGUCGCGACGUCCGGUACUAAAACCUAGCGAAUCGCCGUGCCGAAGCGUGUUCUGUCCGCGUCGGAACGGUUAAAUCAAAAGACAGGACUAAGUAUGUAGAACUGGUUGCAGAAGACUUACGGACGCGGGUUCGAUUCCCGCCGGCUCCACCA
rfam:Pandoraea thiooxydans strain DSM 25325, complete genome.